rnacentral:lncRNA from 1 species
GAGAACACAUUUUAAAUAUAUUCAAAUAACAGCCAAAUCACCGAUGUACCAAUCAAGUUUAUUACAUUCCACCAAUCACAAUAUAACCAUAUAAUAUUACACCAAUCACAGUAUAGCACUCUACAGAUAAAACGCUCAACUAGUACAUGCACGUCUCCAACACCUUAGCGCCUUCAACCUGCAAAACAUCACAUCCAACCACAUAUUAACGAUCAAAUCAAUUCACCCCUUGACGGCAAUAAAAAACUGUGCUCAUGUAUGAACGAAAAUAAAAUAAACAAUCUUUGAGGCCAUAGCAUGUGCUACAAAAAUCUUAACAAAUGCAUAGAUAUCCACACGGAGCACAUCCUACAUGCACCAAGCAUCAGGCAUAUGUUCAAGAAGAUAAGUAAUUUGAGAUGGAAACAAGUACAGCUAACAAUCUAACAUGUGUAGUAGCACCAGCAAAAAGAGAAAGACAUGGAAGAAUUUACAAGAACAGCACCCUGGGAGUCCAAUUACAUGUACAUGAGCUACUGCUGCUAGUGUAUAUAGAACCAAUCAAGCUGCUGGUGUAGGAGCAGAGCAUGAGUCCAACAGAGCCACAUAGGAGCAAACAACAGAGCCACAUAGGAGCAAACAACAGAUUAAGCACUGCUCCUAACUAACUUAGCAAAUCCAGAGCAACCCCAUACCACCAGAGCAUCACAGGAGCACAUAUAUAAAGCAAGUACAAAUGGGCAGCUACUGACAGACCCUAGAACCGCAUGAAUUUAUCACCAGAGAGCUCCAGUAGUAGUUGAUGCUUGGUUACAGCAUCUAGCAGCAACUAGCAGAGCCCCACAUCCAACCCAAAUCAUGGCCAAGGCCAUGCAGGAGCUACAUCAGAGAAGAAGGAACGGGGAGGAGCUCACCAGAGGAAGGUGCUAACCGUAGCAGAGGCUCAGCCACAACACGGCUGUGGUGUGACCAUCACCACAUCGAGGAGAGGGUCUGGAAGCCGCCGAAGCACCACCGCGGCGACCAGGGCAAGCGCCGGGCACAGUGGCGCCACCCCAGGGACAUCACCGCACGGACAUCACCAGCCUCGCCCUGUUUCAAGAAAUGUUCAGAACAACUUUGUCAGACUCGAUCAAUUCUGAAGAAACCACUUUGUCGUCAGACACAUACAUACAUACAGGAUGCAAAAGAAGAAGAAACAGAGCAGGGACCUGGUCGAUCAUGAGAUAGUGUUCAUAUCAUUAGGAAGAAAUAGGCCAUUGUAUAGCUCACAUAAACAGAUCUGCUACUAUGCGCAACACGAGCACCCACUUGCACUUGGUAUAUUUCUGUAUCUAGGACGCCCAGCACUUACAACACUUGGGCUAGUCUAAUGUAUAGACUUGUUUGCAAUAGGAGCCAAUGGAACUGAAACACAAGUAGCACAUGAACAAACAACGAAAGAAAUAGAAGGACGAC